rnacentral:rRNA from 1 species
UUAUGGCUCAGGAUGAACGCUAGCGGCAGGCUUAACACAUGCAAGUCGAGGGGCAUCGGGAGUAGCAAUACUUGCCGGCGACCGGCGCAAGGGUGCGUAACGCGUGAGCAACAUGCCCGUAUCAGGGGGGAUAAUCCAUGGAAACGUGGUCUAAUACCCCAUAGUAAUUAUGUAAGGCAUCUUAUAUAAUUUAAAGCUUUGGUGGAUACGGAUUGGCUCGCGUGACAUUAGCUGGAUGGUAAGGUAACGGCUUACCAUGGCUACGAUGUCUAGGGGUUCUGAGAGGAAGGUCCCCCACACUGGAACUGAGACACGGUCCAGACUCCUACGGGAGGCAGCAGUGAGGAAUAUUGGACAAUGGAUGGGAAUCUGAUCCAGCCAUGCCGCGUGCAAGGAAGACGGCCCUAUGGGUUGUAAACUGCUUUUGUAUGGGAGCAAUAAGGGCUACGUGUAGUCCGAUGAGAGUACCAUACGAAUAAGCACCGGCUAACUCCGUGCCAGCCGCAGC